UGAUGUCCUUUUCCAGGGGCUGGUCCCUCCUGACAACACGUCCAAAAUUUCGCCAUCCUUGCAGAUCCUGAUCGUGCUUGGUUUUUUGAAUAUACCAUUUCCAUCUUUUGGUGGAUUUCUGCUGGGCUGCCUGACUCUAUGUUUUGGAGUGUCUGAGAGAACCCAGUUUAUGACGUGCAUUUCUGAACUUAACAAAGAAACAUAAAAGGCUGCCAGAUGUUUAUCUUCUGGUACCUUCAAUGAUACAGGCAGAACAGGAAAGAAAGUACUCUCAAGUAUAUCUCUGCUCCCUGAGGAAAAAUAAAUGUGUCUGCCUACCCGUUAUAUCAUCUUGCUGCUAGGCUGGGCUGUCCUAUAUUUUGCUGCUGGAUUUGAUACCACCUGACUCUAUGUUCAUGCUUAACUGACCUUUUGAACACUUCAAUAUUUCAGGUAAGAUUUUUGUUUAAAUCUUUUCUCACUUUACUCAUUUUUCCCCUAAUCCAUUUUACAUCACUGUUUUUCUUUUAUAGUAUCUGGCUUAUUAUUCUUGAUUUUCAAGUGUUUAGCUGCAUAAUGAAACUACUUAACAUUUUAAUUACUUACGCAAAGCUCUGAAUGCCUCAUUUAAUUAGAAGUAAUAUUUUAUAAAUGAAGCUACUAUAGUAAUAGUAGCAAUUAUUAAUUGUAAUUAUACCUUAACUGAUUGCACUGUUUAUAUCCAAGAGAAUAGGAAAUGUGUGACAGCUUGUUUGUGAAUUUAAGCUGGGAAACUGUCAGUUGAGUAAAGACGGCUUCUUCUUGAUAUUAACCCUGUUUGAAAGCAGUGGAUUAGAGGUAGCUUUUCCCAGAGAUAUUUUAACCUCCAAAUUAUUUAAUUCCAAAUCCUCGUUGGCCCAAGCUAGUAGUAUAUUGAAGGUACAUAAAUGAUUUGGCAAGGAGAUCUUAUUUAAUUUCUUAAGUUUAUAUAGCAAACAUGGUCAAGUUUGUACUGUAACAUCUUGGUGAAAUUUUAACAAGUAAGAGAGAGCUGGUUACAUAAAUUGUUUCUUCGCUCACAAAUAUACUAAACCCUUUGCCGUCGAGUCGAUUCCGACUCAUAGCAACCCUAUAGGACAGAGUAGAACUGCCCCAUAGGGUUUCCAAGGAGCGCCUGUUGGAUUCGAACUGCUGACCUUUUGGUUAGCAGCCGUAACUCUUAACCACUAUGCCACCAGGGUAUACUAGACAUUUUAAAAGAGUUAUUGUAAAUAUAAUUCUCUAAGCAUGUAGGAAGAAAUGAAAUUCUGGCUAAAUGGUCAAUCAUUAGAUAUCUAACAGGGCAAGCAAAGUAGAUGCUGAGCAAAUUGUGAGAGAAAAAAGAAUGAUACACAAAAAAAUUGAUAAAAUACUGUAAGAAAACACAGAAUUUCAAAGCUAGAAGAAGCAGUGUUACAGCCAAACAACCUAGAACCCAAAAGUUUUUUAAGUCAUGUGCACGGAUUACAGACUGAGGCAGUCAAAUGCUCCUUCCUCUGUGCCAUACUGCCUCCCAGUGACCAGUAAUUAUUUGUAUGACAUACAGAGCCUGGCAAAGCCCUUUCCAAAACAAAUGAACAAACAUAAAAUCUGCUUCACCUCUAGCCUCCCUUAAUUCCUAUAGCACUCAUUUUUGUUCUUCCUUCUUGCUCCUCUUGUUUUUUUAAAUUUUAUUGAUUUUGUUGUUA